GGCAUUGACUGCUGCCGAUGCCUUAUCACGGAACAUUUCGUGCUUGAGGGCAGCAAAUCCGCCCUCUUUAUCCGCAGGCAGUACUAAUAGACCGUGUUCCUGGAGUGUGGUGGCUAUACGGCUGAAAUGUAUACAGCCAGACGCUUCCGUCCGCAACUUGCGAGCGCAUUCACUCCCUGAGACACAGGAAUCGCGAUCAUCCAGGACACAGGUAUCAUGCUUCUCUUCCUGCGGCGUCACUCCUUGCGCCGCGGUUGCUACGCCAGCUCCAGCCGCUCACGUGACUAAAAGCGCCGCCCUUGCUGCCUAUGGUUGCAGAUUUCCUCGAGGAUAAGAAGAAAGCACUCAUCCGGCAUCGUUGUGUCGCUAACGUCCAAAGAAAAGACUUCAACCCUGGAACAUCGUCAAGAGCAAGUAGCACACGGUGCACGUGGUGAGCCCAGGUGGCGAACACCGGUGAAAGAUGGUGCGCCUGUUGAAAUGGCGGAAAACAAAACACGUUACUGGAUCCGACUGUUUUAUUAGAGCUCUGGUUCCCGCCUAUUUG